rnacentral:rRNA from 1 species
GAGUUUGAUCCUGGCUCAGAACGAACGCUAUCGGUAUGCUUAACACAUGCAAGUCGAACGGACUAAUUGGGGCUUGCUCCAAUUAGUUAGUGGCAGACGGGUGAGUAACACGUGGGAAUCUACCCAUCAGUACGGAAUAACUUUUAGAAUUAAAAGCUAAAUACCGUAUAUUCUCUACGGAAGAGAGAUUUAUCGCUGAUGGAUGAGCCCGCGUCAGAUUAGGUCGUUGGUGAGGUAACGGCUCACCAAGCCGACGAUCUGUAGCUGGUCUGAGAGGAUGAUCAGCCACACUGGGACUGAGACACGGCCCAGACUCCUACGGGAGGCAGCAGUGGGGAAUAUUGGACAAUGGGCGAAGGCCUGAUCCAGCAAUACCGAGUGAGUGAUGAAGGCCUUAGGGUUGUAAAGCUCUUUUAGCUAAGG